rnacentral:tRNA from 1 species
UCCCUUGAAGUCCACUGGUCAGGACUCUGUGCUUUCAUUGCAGAGGUCAUAGGUUCAAUUCCUGGUCAGGAA